ACACGUUGAAGUUGAAGUUUGAAGUUGAAGUUUAUUUCUUUCUUUGUUACAGAAGGAGGAACAAGAGGUAAAGGCCAUGUGGCCUGACAGAGGCUCUUGCUCCUAAGCGCGUUCGGCAAACAUAUUCAAAGCAAAUACAGCACAAAAAAUGUGGAAUAAUUUGCAAAGAAACGAUUGGGGUCAUCCGCAUACAUUAUGAUAUUAGAGUAAAAGCACUUCAAGCCAUACGGGUUCACUUUUUGGUGGAAGCAUUUGAAGUACCUAGAGCAGCUACUUGUGGCCUGAAGCAUCCAAACAACAGGGUGAUAUGACCUUAGCCUGCAGCAAAAUGAUAAUAAAAAGCCAUAAAUUCCUAGUAGCUGAAUCAUGAAAUGCUUAAGUUGUGCAUGUUUACAUGUUUUCUGAUCUAAUUUGUACACCAGAUCUAAUUUGUAGCUUUUCCUUUAGAUGUCUAAUAAAAUGAAUGAGCUUUCACGUUACUACUUAUUUAAUUGAAAUUUGUUGCAUGCUCAACAGUGUUUGUUGUGAUAGUCAAUAUGUAAACAAGGUGUGGAAAAGUUUAUUUAGGUGCCUUGGGCAAGUCCUCAACAGCAAGUUUUAACAAUUGUAGUGAAAUUAACUUGGUAUUAUUUUUAUCCCUCAAAUAUGUCCCACCUUUUCAUACCCAUUUCAUGCAUCUA